rnacentral:rRNA from 1 species
UCGAGGGGCAGCAUGGUCUUAGCUUGCUAAGGCCGAUGGCGACCGGCGCACGGGUGAGUAACACGUAUCCAACCUGCCGUCUACUCUUGGACAGCCUUCUGAAAGGAAGAUUAAUACAAGAUGGCAUCAUGAGUCCGCAUGUUCACAUGAUUAAAGGUAUUCCGGUAGACGAUGGGGAUGCGUUCCAUUAGAUAGUAGGCGGGGUAACGGCCCACCUAGUCUUCGAUGGAUAGGGGUUCUGAGAGGAAGGUCCCCCACAUUGGAACUGAGACACGGUCCAAACUCCUACGGGAGGCAGCAGUGAGGAAUAUUGGUCAAUGGGCGAGAGCCUGAACCAGCCAAGUAGCGUGAAGGAUGACUGCCCUAUGGGUUGUAAACUUCUUUUAUAAAGGAAUAAAGUCGGGUAUGGAUACCCGUUUGCAUGUACUUUAUGAAUAAGGAUCGGCUAACUCCGUGCCAGCAGCCGCGGUAAUACGGAGGAUCCGAGCGUUAUCCGGAUUUAUGGGGUUCAAAGGGAGCGUAGAUGGAUGUUAAGUCAGUUGUGAAAGUUUGCGGCUCAACCGUAAAAAUUGCAGUUGAUACUGGAUAUCUUGAGUGCAGUUGAGGCAGGCCGGAAUUCGUGGUGUAGCGGUGAAAUGCUUAGAUAUCACGA